rnacentral:tRNA from 1 species
GGGCUUGUAGCUCAGCUAGGUAGAGCAAUCGGCUCUUAACCGAUUGGUCAGGGGUUCGAAUCCCCUCAGGCCCG